AAUUUGAUGGCCUAGUGGUUAGAGCAUCCACCUCGUAUGCGUGACGUCGUGGGUUCGAACCUCGGACGAGUCA